GCGGACGGCUCAGUAACACGUCGAUAACCUACCCUCGGGAAAGGGAUAACCCCGGGAAACUGGGGCUAAUCCCCCAUAGGUGUGGGGUACUGGAAGGUCCCCACACCGAAAGGGGCUUCGUGCCCGCCCGAGGAUGGGCCGGCGGCCGAUUAGGUAGUUGGUGGGGUAACGGCCCACCAAGCCGAAGAUCGGUACGGGCCAUGAGAGUGGGAGCCCGGAGAUGGACACUGAGACACGGGUCCAGGCCCUACGGGGCGCAGCAGGCGCGAAACCUCCGCAAUGCGGGAAACCGCGACGGGGGGACCCCCAGUGCCGUGGCAACGCCACGGCUUUUCCGGAGUGUAAAAAGCUCCGGGAAUAAGGGCUGGGCAAGGCCGGUGGCAGCCGCCGCGGUAAUACCGGCGGCCCGAGUGGUGGCCGCUAUUAUUGGGCCUAAAGCGUCCGUAGCCGGGCCCGUAAGUCCCUGGCGAAAUCCCACGGCUCAACCGUGGGGCUUGUUGGGGAUACUGCGGGCCUUGGGACCGGGAGAGGCGGGGGGUACCCCUGGGGUAGGGGUGAAAUCCUAUAAUCCCAGGGGGACCGCCAGUGGCGAAGGCGCCCCGCUGGAACGUGUCCGACGGUGAGGGACGAAGGCCAGGGGAGCGAACCGGAUUAGAUACCCGGGUAGUCCUGGCUGUAAAGGAUGCGGGCUAGGUGUCGGGCGAGCUCCGAGCUCGCCCGGUGCCGUAGGGAAGCCGUUAAGCCCGCCGCCUGGGGAGUACGGCCGCAAGGCUGAAACUUAAAGGAAUUGGCGGGGGAGCACUACAAGGGGUGGAGCGUGCGGUUUAAUUGGAUUCAACGCCGGGAACCUCACCGGGGGCGACGGCAGGAUGAAGGCCAGGCUGAAGGUCUUGCCGGACACGCCGAGAGGAGGUGCAUGGCCGCCGUCAGCUCGUACCGUGAGGCGUCCACUUAAGUGUGGUAACGAGCGAGACCCGCGCCCCCAGUUGCCAGUCCCUCCCGUAGGGAGGGAGGCACUCUGGGGGGACCGCCGGCGAUAAGCCGGAGGAAGGAGCGGGCGACGGUAGGUCAGUAUGCCCCGAAACCCCCGGGCUACACGCGCGCUACAAUGGGCGGGACAAUGGGAUCCGACCCCGAAAGGGGAAGGGAAUCCCCUAAACCCGCCCUCAGUUCGGAUCGCGGGCUGCAACUCGCCCGCGUGAAGCUGGAAUCCCUAGUACCCGCGUGUCAUCAUCGCGCGGCGAAUACGUCCCUGCUCCUUGCACACACCGCCCGUCACUCCACCCGAGCGGGGUCCGGAUGAGGCCCCGUCGCCGGCUCUGGCCGGAUGGCGGGGUCGAGUCCGGGCUCCGUGAGGGGGGAGAAGUCGUAACAAGGUAGCCGUAGGGGAACCUACGGCUCGAUCACCUCCUAUCGCCGGAAACCCAUCCGGGGGGUUUAAGGGGUGUUGGGCCUGCUUAGCGUGGGCCGGUAGCUCAGCCUGGGAGAGCGCCGGCUUUGCAAGCCGGAGGCCCCGGGUUCAAAUCCCGGCCGGUCCACCACGAAGAGGUGCACAUCCCGAGCAACGCUCGGGGUGGAAGUGCCCUAGACCCCAAACAGGGGUCACGAUGAGGGCCGUGCAUAGGCGGAUUGGCCCAAAAAAUGCCCAGCCCCUUGAGUAAGGGGCAAGAAACCUAAGCCGCCUGGUGGAUGGCUCGGCUCGGGGCGCCGACGAAGGGCGUGGCAAGCUGCGAUAAGCCCCGGUGAGGCGCAGGCAGCCGUCGAGCCGGGGAUUCCCGAAUGGGACCUCCCGCGGCUUUUGCCGCACUCCCGUCAGGGAGGGGGAACGCGGGGAAUGAAAC
rnacentral:rRNA from 1 species